rnacentral:lncRNA from 1 species
AGUAAAGUAGUUUUGAGAUUUUAGCUACCAUUUAUUUUACUUAAACUGCGGAGUCCUUGGGACUUUUCUGCGUGACAAUUUCUUUUUGGCUUACGGUAAUUCAUCUUCUUGAAUAUUUUGUUUUCUUGGGAAAAAAGUUCUCCCUUGAUGUCUUUAGCAAAGGUUUUAGGUCCAAAGUUGCAUUCAAUUUCUCCUGAUUAUAAUUUUGAUAGACACCCUUGACCCUAAACAAGAAAAUCUGGAAUAGGUGCAAAAUGAAGACUUGCUGACAAGAAACCUGUAUUU